GGGCGGUUAGCUCAGCGGGAGAGCACUACGUUGACAUCGUAGGGGUCACAGGUUCAAUCCCUGUACCGCCCA
rnacentral:tRNA from 1 species